UCCUGGGCACCAAGACAAUCACCCACCGCUAUUCUGGACAUGGGCAUGAAUAAGAGACACUCUGCCGAGAAUAGCGUCCUACACGGGGCCAGGCUAUUCUGUACACCUUUGGCAACCUGGACAUGAAUAAGAGACACUCUGCCGAGAAGGAAGCACCCCGAUGUUUUCCUCCGGCUCCUAUUUAUCCAAUGAGUAAAUACUUGCUCUUUUUUGACGAGAACAGCAGGAGCUCUGCCUUUGCAUUAUAGGAGAAAAAGAGGGUACAAGUCAUACAACGCUGGGCCGAGGCCCCAAGUCUAGAAACAGGUCAUAUACACAGGCCUACAUCCGAAAACACAAAAAAUUGCUACGGGAGCCCCAUAUCACUCGCCUUGCUCUUCAGCCAAGUAACUUGCCAAGGACUGCACUACUUUGUGAAAAACUCUGUUUCCUUGUUUGUUUUUUCGUUUCCUACUUUGUUCCUUUGUUGUUUCCUGUUAAACUCUGUUGUGUUAUGCUAAUAGGUUGACAAGGAUGAGGAUCCUUACCAGAAUGAGAGGAGGUGGCUCGGUGGUAAUGGCGAAAAGGAAGAAGGCGGCCCGGAACCAGGGCAGGAAUCGUGCGGGCAUGGAGGCGGAGGCGGAGGGUUCAGCUAGGCGCGCGCCCCACUUCCACGGACACGGCGCCCCCUUUGACGUCCGCCGCGGCCAAGAAAACGGAGCCCACCUUGGGGGCGCCCGCCCCGGCCAAGAAGCUAUCCCACCCAUGGCACAACACAGAAGAUUGUUGAGCUCCUACGCCGGGCAGCGGCUUUCCUGGGGAGGAACGGCAGCGCCGGCGACGACACAUCCUCCACUAGCGCCGGCAACGGCGGCGUGGAGGCUCUGGUGGGCGAACGCUCGCGGGAUCAGCUUCCUGGGCACCAAGACAAUCACGCACCGCCCAAGCGUCCUACACGGGGUCAGGCUAUUCUCUACACCUUUGGCAACCUGGACAUGAAUAAGAGACACUCUGCCGAGAAGGAAGCGCCCCGAUGUUUUCCUCCGGCUCCUAUUUUACCCAGUUGACAAGGAUGAGGAUACUUACCAGAAUGAGAGGAGGUAUGAAGAGUUUUGUGAAGCUAGAAUGAAGCUUCCACUUGGAUAUGAGUUGUGCACUGUAUGUUUUUAAUUUGAAGAGCCCUGGAGACAUGGAAAUGCAGUAGUACGUUCUGGGAAUAUGCUCUCUCAUUUCAAUUGCCACAACACUCCAGGUGUCAAAUGUGGUGAAGAAUUAUGUACGGUUAGGUUCCGCAGCUGUGAACAUCAGCAGUUAUACAGAUCCUAUUGCACAAGUAUUUGGGAGACCAAGCCAAAGUUGCGGUAUGACAGGUUUUGUCGAGGUAGGGUGUAGUAACAAUCUGUUUGGAAGAUUCGCAGCAGCUAAAGGUGUCUGCAAGUAUGGCCUGAGAUUGAAGAACCACAUGGUGUGCUAAUAAAAGCUACAAAGAGAUGAACUAUUGUAUGCUUUUGUUGGAUGAUGGGUUGACAUGUCGUGUGAGAGUGAUGUCAAAUGACAAACUGUGAGCCUAGUGCGAUCAUGUUGUUGAGAAAAUGGUUUUCUUGGAUGAUGUUCUGCAGCUACUGUGGAAGUUAUAUUUAC